AUCGGGAAUUUUGCGCAAUGGACGAAAGUCUGACGCAGCGACACCGCGUGGAGGAUGAAGGCCUUCGGGUUGUAAACUCACAUCAAAAAGCACCGGCUAACUACGUGCCAGCAGCAGCGGUCAUACGUAGGGUGCAAGCGUUACCCGGAUUUAUUGGGCGUAAAGAGUUCUGUAGGCGGUGGCAUAAGUCAAAGGUUAAAUACCUGGGCUCAACUCAGGGAAGGCUUUUGAUACUGUGUCACUAGAGAUGAUUAGGGGACAGCGGAACGCACGGUGGAGCGGUGAAAUGCGUUGAUAUCGUGCGGAACACCAAGGGGGAAGCCAGCUGUCUGGGAUUUAUCUGACGCUGAGAGACGAAAGCGUGGGGAGCGAAACGGAUUAGAAACCCCGGUAGUCC
rnacentral:rRNA from 1 species